AUUAAUAAAAAGAAAAGUUGUUCAUUUGAUUGAACAAUGAAAUGGAAUACCUGUGAUGAAAACGAUUCUUUUAGAAAAGUUGUCAUCAGAAAUGAAAUUUCGAAUAUUAUUGACGUCUAGUAAGUGAUUAAUAUUAUUUGCAAUAACUGGAUGUGUCACUCCAAGCACGAAAGUGGGGGAAAAUCGAAACCCCGGAAAAAAAUGAAAUGGGGAUAAAAAAUGGAAAAGGAAAAAAGAAAAAUG
rnacentral:lncRNA from 1 species